UAAAGUUUGUUCUCAUGAUCAAACUCAAGAAACUCUAAGUCCAGAUGAUUUGUUUAACGUAAUAUGUAUUUUACUGUUGUUUUUACUUGAAGCUUUCUUAGAUUUUGAAACGAAGUAAACACUUAAUGUGUGUUGCUAAUGUUGGGCCAUGUAAUACAUUAACGUUUUAAUGAAUAGUCUAACGAUUUAUAAUCGUUGUACUCUAUUGUUAUAAUAUGUCUUUUUGACUGAAUACAUGUUUGUUUUAUUUGUCUAUAUCCUAGAUUCGCAGCUGGACACUGUAUGCAAACAUGCAACAUCAUUACACACAGUACAAGGAGUCAGACUGGCAUAUGAGGAGCAAAGGAACCCAGGCAGUUGCAUCGUUUCACAAUGUUUCAAUCACCAUCAUCAGUGGAUGCCUUUGCCGUCCGUAGCCUGAGAUUUCAGAUUUGCAGCAAAAAAUUUGACUUUCCCAUUUAUUGGAAUGCUGUGCAGGUUGUACCUUGCAGCCAUCCAUUACAAUGUCACCAAGCCGUAACAAAAGCAGGAGAGGGAAAGUACAAGGCUAUGUUCCCAAAACACACAAGUGACAUACUGUAAGCAGUAAUGUUUUAUUUCAAAUACAUUCAUAAUUAAAAACUUAAUGUAUGAAGCAGGGAAAUAAAUGAUCAAAACAAAAGAUUUAUUGACUGCAAUAUUUGUACAGUUAUGUGGAUGAUGUGAUCAGGCUUCUGU